rnacentral:lncRNA from 1 species
UCAAACAUGUACAUGGUAGUUGUCCUCAAUCCUCUGUUCUUUUUUCUUUUCUAGAGAGAUGUAGAUCAGGGGAGGCUGGGUAAUCCCAAGAUCACAGAAAUCAUCACACUUUUGCUGAUGAACAUCACAGUGAUCCAAGAAAGAGGAGCAUGCAAGCAAAGCCAAAGGACAUGAGGACACAUCCACUGCUGUCAAAGUGCCAAUCAUCAUGGAGAAGCAGCUCAGCUUAACCUAGCUUAGUUUCUGCUGAUGUCUGUGGCCAUAAAGCCGGGCCAUUGUGCCAUG